rnacentral:RNase_P_RNA from 1 species
AGUGCAGGUCGUUCUAUCGCGUUUAUAAAUUUAUAAAUGAGGAAAGUCUGAGCAGCACAGAACAGUUUGACAGCUAACUGCUGUAUAUAGGAAUAUAUGGAAAGUGCCACAGAAAAUUGUACAGGUAAGGCUGUAGUGAAAAUGUUUUUAUAGUAAUAUAUUAACUAGGCAAACCCCAAACGCUGAAACAUCAUGUAAACCAAUGCUUGACGGUUGUUCGCUGGAUGUUGGUGGGUAGAUGGAUAGAGGUAAUUAGCGAUAAUUAUCCUAGAUAAAUGAUAGAAAAGUAUUUAUACUUACAGAACUCGGCUUAUAGACCUGCUAUUUUU